rnacentral:tRNA from 1 species
AGGGCAAUAGCUCAAUUGGUAGAGUAGUGGUUUCCAAAACCAUUGGUUGUGGGUUCGAGUCCCGCUUGCCCUGCCA